CGGGGUGCACCAGGCGCGAAAACUUUACACUGCGGGAAACCGCGAUAAGGGGACCCCGAGUGCCAGCACCUAGUGCUGGCUGUCCAGCUGUUCAAAUAACAGUUGUUAGCAAGGGCCGGGCAAGACCGGUGCCAGCCGCCGCGGUAACACCGGCGGCCCGAGUGGUAGCCGUUAUUAUUGGGUUUAAAGGGUCCGUAGCCGGCCUAUUAAGUCUCUUGGGAAAUCUGGCGACUCAAUCGUCAGGCGUCCAAGAGAUACUGGUAGGCUUGGGACCGGGAGAGGUGGGAGGUACUCCAGGGGUAGGGGUGAAAUCUCGUAAUCCUUGGGGGACCACCGAUGGCGAAGGCAUCCCACCAGAACGGGUCCGACGGUGAGGGACGAAAGCUGGGGGCACGAACCGGAUUAGAUACCCGGGUAGUCCCAGCCGUAAACGAUGCUCGCUAGGUGUCAGGUGCGGUGCGACCGCAUCUGGUGCCGCAGUGAAAACUUGAAGCGAGUCACCUGGGAAGUACGGUCGCAAGGCUGAAACUUAAAGGAAUUGGCGGGGGAGCAC
rnacentral:rRNA from 1 species